GGUGCUGCUCUGCCAGAACAGCCACCCAGAGGCAUGCUACACAGACUCCCCAGGUUCAUAAGUCUUUCAUUCAGAACAGUGUCUGAGUUUAACCCAUUUUGAAGGCCUCAACUCUGAUAGAAAAGUGCUUACUAGAGAUUCAUAUAUACUUGGUUAUAAAUAAAGGCUUUAAAAGUUAA